AUACUCACCUGGCGUAGAGGGAUAUCGUGAUCAUGCAGGCGAUUCCCCCAGGGCGAGGCUGCUCCAUUGCAGUGCGGAGUGGUUGACCCUUGCGAUAAUUUUUUUUUUGUUAAUAAAAAAAUUAUAAUAAAUGUAUACCCGAAUAAUUAUUUUCUU
rnacentral:snRNA from 1 species